UACGUAGGGUGCGAGCGUUAAUCGGAAUUACUGGGCGUAAAGCGUGCGCAGGCGGCGCCGCAAGUCGAGUGUGAAAUCUCCGGGCUUAACUCGGAAAGGUCAACUGAUACUGUGCGACUAGAGUGCAGAAGGGGCAACUGGAAUUCUCGGUGUAGCGGUGAAAUGCGUAGAUAUCGAGAGGAACACCUGCGGCGAAGGCGGGUUGCUGGGCUGACACUGACGCUGAUGCGCGAAAGCCAGGGGAGCGAACGGG
rnacentral:rRNA from 1 species